rnacentral:rRNA from 13 species
UGAGUAAGACUACCCGCCGAAUUUAAGCAUAUAAUUAAGCGGAGGAAAAGAAACUAACAAGGAUUCCUUUAGUAACGGCGAGUGAAACAGGAUGAGCUCACCUAUAAUCGGCAAUUUUUUGCCGAGUUGUGGUCUGUAGAAGCAUUGUCGGUCGAGGUUCCGGGCUAAGUCUCUUGGAAAAGAGCAGCUGAGAGGGUGACACUCCCGUUCUUGCCUGGGAUCUGCGAUCAUAGCACAUGCCUUCAACGAGUCGAGUUGCUUGGGAUUGCAGCUCAAAUGCGUGGUAUACUCCAUGUAAAGCUAAAUAUAGGUAGGAAACCGAUAGCGCACAAGUACUGUGAAGGAAAGAUGCAAAGAACUUUGAAAAGAGAGUUAAAGAGUACCUGAAACUGUUGAAAGGGAAGCAAAUGGAAACAGUGUGUUUCCGUACCAUUCUUCCUUCGUGGCUUGCCACGGGGGCGCUGUGGUGCGGGAGUGGUCAGCAUGGGUUUGACUCGGAGCAUAUAGCUAUUCAGGAGGCAUCUGUCUUUUCAGAGAUUACUGUUUAGUGUUGUUCUGGGUUGGAUCGAGGUUAGUAUUUCGUGAUGCUGACGAAAUGUUUCUAUUUACCCCGUCUUGUAACACGGACCAAGGAGUCUAACAUAUGUGCAAGUACAAAGGUGGCAAACCUGCGUGCAUAAUGAAAGUAACAGUGGUUGGAUCCCCUCGGGGUGCACAAUCCGCCGGCCAAUAUCCUUCGGGAGAAAGGUCUGAGUGUGAGCAUACAUGUUGGGACCCGAAAGAUGGUGAACUAUGCCUGAGCGGGGCGAAGCCAGAGGAAACUCUGGUGGAGGCCCGCAGCGGUUCUGACGUGCAAAUCGAUCGUCAAAUUUGGGUAUAG